GUUCCCCUGGUGGCCUCUACACAUCUCUGAAUGGUACACAGAUUAGCACAGCUCCUGCAGAAGGAUGACACACAAAUUUGUGAAGUGUCCCAUAUUUCC
ensembl:snRNA U6 U6 spliceosomal RNA